GGGCUUCCUUUUGCAGUACAUAUACUAAAAUUGUAGUAAUACAGAGAUUACCAUGGUCCCUACACAAGAAUGAAAUUCAACUUUGUGAAUUGUUCCAUAUUUUU
ensembl:snRNA U6 U6 spliceosomal RNA